rnacentral:rRNA from 1 species
AUUGAACGCUGGCGGAAUGCUUUACACAUGCAAGUCGAACGGCAGCACGGGGGCAACCCUGGUGGCGAGUGGCGAACGGGUGAGUAAUACAUCGGAACGUGCCCGGUCGUGGGGGAUAACGUAGCGAAAGUUACGCUAAUACCGCAUACGAUCUGAGGAUGAAAGCGGGGGACCUUCGGGCCUCGCGCGAUCGGAGCGGCCGAUGUCAGAUUAGGUAGUUGGUGGGGUAAAGGCCUACAGAGCCGACGAUCUGUAGCUGGUCUGAGAGGACGACCAGCCACACUGGGACUGAGACACGGCCCAGACUCCUACGGGAGGCAGCAGUGGGGAAUUUUGGACAAUGGGCGCAAGCCUGAUCCAGCCAUUCCGCGUGCAGGACGAAGGCCUUCGGGUUGUAAACUGCUUUUGUAUGGAACGAAAAGGCUCUGGCUAAUACCUGGGGCUCAUGACGGUACCGUAAGAAUAAGCACCGGCUAACUACGUG